GGCGGUGCGGCGGCGGCCAUAUCUGCGGCGGCGGCGGCCCCUGGCGGCGGCGGGGCCGGCGGCGCUGACCCAUCUUGCGCGGCGGGAGCGGGGCGGGGUGCGCGGCGGCCCCGGGGGCGGCUGGGGCUCCCGCCUCCACGCUGGGAAAGGAGGAAGGAAGCGCGAAGCGCCGGGCAGGGGCAGGGGAGAGCGCGGCCCGGCGCCCUGGGCCCGCCUCGGCGCGCAGCCGAGCCCGGCGGCUCUGCCUUUGUUCGCCUCCCUUCGUGGCACGGCCAAGGCAGGGCGCUGGGCCAGAGCCCCUCGCGCUCCCCGCACCUCGACGCCCCUGCCACCGUCGUGUGUGCUCCCCGGCUUUCCCGGCCCCGCCAGAGCGUGCGGGUUGUCCCUCCCGAGGGCACUGCCACCAGCGGGCCCUGUGCAUGAGGAGGGGGCCUGCUCCCCAUCAGCGCUGCCUUCAGAGGCCUCCGCCCCGGCGCUGCAUCUGCCGCCGCCUGGACGUGCCGUGAGUCAAAGCGUAACGUAACUGAAGUCGCUCCUGCCAGGAGCACACAUCCCCAAUACAGCAUUUCCGCUGGGACCAGGCUGUGUCCACUUUCUCCUACCUGAAUCCUCAUGGAAAUUUUCCUCUGUAAAAGGCCAAUAGCUGUUUGAGAUGCAAGGCUCUGGCCCAGAUGUUUCGCCAGCACAGGAGGAGGCAGGUUUCAGGACUAGAACAACCAUCGGUUGGUUCCAGAAUGCCAAGUUCCGUGUUCCUUUGCUUAAGAGAUUGGGUGCACAGGUCUGACCAACCGGCCAAUUUUCAAGAAACAAUCCAGAAACAGGAAGAGAACUACUCCAUUCCUUUUGAAGAUAAAGGUGAGGUAGCAUAAACAUCGUCUGAAUCACUGAGCAUCUAUGUUAUCUGUGAGCCUGUGUUACUUUCAAAGGGCAAAUAAAUUGUGAAGGCAAUGUGAAAAUCUAACUGCCAAGGCAUCUGGGCUGCGUCAGAAAGACUCUUCCUGUACUCUGCUUUCUCAGAGCUAAAAGAAAACUCAGUAAGUUGCUGAGUUGAACGCUUCAUCCUUCUACCUCCUUCACAAGCUUCUGGAGGUGACAGAUGUUUCCUCAGGGCCUGUUAUUUUAGACACCUCCAUGAUUUAUAUAUCUCUGCAAGCCUCGUGGGUGAAAUUGGAUGUCACAGACAAGCUGAAAAUAACUCAUAUACUCAGACUCUGAUACCUACUGGCCCAUGUAGAAAAACUCAGAGAUCGAAUUGAAUCACACAUUACAUGUGCCUGGCAAAUGCACUGGGAUGUACAAACGGAGCAAUGGUGGGUUAAAAUGAUGCUGAAAUGUUACACAGAGCGUGCUAGCAAGAACUCUGCAAGAACAUUGUGCACACAAAACCACCCUGGCUUAGCCGUAAUGACUGUUUUGCUAAGAUCUGCAGUAGCACAUGGAGGAAAAACUCUUCCUUAGAAAAAUAUGUAAUUCCCUGGAUGAUCAUGGCAUACAGCUGGACAGAAUGCCUUUGGUCCCUACAGUGAGAGAUUCUGUAAGGUACAGAACCUCUGAACAGAUGGCAUUGCAGAGCUGUGCUUGGGUGUGCCUAAAGUGUGGCCAAGGGGUUGGAUCCUACUCCCAGGGUCCUUCUCACUAGAAAUAGUGCUCAGUGGGAAAAUAACACUGUGUGGCCUUGGGGUCUGAAGUUAUUAAUGCCUUGUCAGGUACUUUGGGGUAAUCUGGUGGAAGAGACAGACAACCAAGUAUGCUACACCCACACAUGCUUGGUCCUCCAGAAAUACGAACUGGGAGAUUCUGUUCUAUUUAUGGCAUAUAGGCAGGUGCCACGCUGAAAGCAGACUCUUGGGGCGGAGGUGCAAGGGUUAAUUCUCAGGUGAACUUCUCCAAAGCCAGCUUGUCUGCUGCACUCCAUGUGUAGAGCCUCGGGAGUUUCACCCAGCUCUUCAUCAAGGUUCCCGGUUUUCCCUGUAUGCAGCCUGGCCUCCUUCGGAUACACCUCAGAACCAGUGUUCACUGUGAGAUGGUAAUAUUUUCCAGGGCUGGGCUGUUCUUCCAUGCCAGCCUCUAGAGGGUAUCAGGAAGCAAUGCAGAAAGGGCCUGGGCACAGUCAGCCACACCCUUUAUCCAGCAGUAGGAUGUUCAUAGUCUGCCAAUGUAAACUGCGUGAGCGGUACGCCUCAAUUCACAGCCAGAUCUCUAGCGCAAGAGCAGUGGAUGAAGAGUGGCAGAACUUUAACUCUUUGUGAGGAGCUAAAAACAGAGUUUACAGUGGAGAAUCGAAACUCCUGGAGGGUGCACCCAGAUCUGGGGGAGCAUAUCUUACAGGGUUUCCUGUCAGGGUUUCUGCCAUAGCACAGCCUCGGCACAUGACAUUUCUGCAUUUAGAGCUUAUUUUUUCAGCGAUCACCUUCGGGUAUUUGUUCCCACUUAGCUGAGUGCCUCCCAGACACUCGCUUUAACCUCCCUGUUCUCUGCAGUCCCCAUUGAGCACUAAGAUCUGGUGACUAGAACCUCCUGAGGCCUAAGCCAGUGCUUUCACCCAGGAACCAUUCAACCUGCCUCUUUAAUUAUUCAGAUUAUUUAGAUUAGGCUUGUGCUCCUCUCCCUUUCUCCGAGGCCACAUGCUUUCCUCUAUUUCCUUGCAUCUUCCAACCUUCCUGUGCCCCUGGUACUGUUUGCUGUUCGUUUUCCUUCUUUUGAAUCUGUCUGUCACCAAGUGUUGCACAAAAUGAUACUUUUGGAUGUACAGUGAAGUGUCACUGUGGGCAUUAAUCCUGCCCUUAGGGGUCCCUUUAGAAACCUGAAAACAUUCUUAAAACCCCCACAAAGAUUUCGGCCAAAAAGAUUUUCACUUUUAAGGUGACGAACAAAUAUUUUGUCUGAGGAGCCAAAAUACUUGUACUGAUAUUGGUGGUGUGCCCCAAGGGAAUUGCUGUUUGCAUAUCUUACGUUACUGGGCUUUCAGACUCACAGAUAUCUUGUUCCAGACUACAUUUCCCAUGUUGCAUCGUGAUCUUAGACUCUCAGCCCCACGCUUGCAGGAGGAAAAUGUUGUAUCUUUGGAAAACUUGGAUGUAAUAUGAAGUGGCACAGCCAGAAAUAGAACCCAAGAGCUCAUGCCUUGCUCACUGUUACCCAGCACAUUUUGGACUUGUCUGCCCAAAAUUUUGAAUUAGGUCAGUGGGAUAAAGUGGUAUAAAACUGCCAUUCUGUCUGGUAGGAUGUUACAUCUGCCUUGCUCUCACAACAACCUGAUGUGGGUGGCCACAGAAAAGAGCAGCAGCUCCUCCGAUCUUGAGCCCAUUGCUGUAGUGGAAAAAAUAACAGAAAUAUGUAGUUGUAAAAAAAAAAAAAAGUUUCCCAAUUCUCCUGUCAGUAGGUGCAGUCCAGGAAACUUUGUGUUUAUAAAGCACUGUGUAAAUUUGCAGCUCUCUAUAAAUGUAUAAUCAAUAACAAUGAUAACAGUAACAGUGCUUAGUCCCGUUCUGGUAAAAACUCAAGACUGCUAACUUCUUGAUAAGAUCACUUGCUUUACACAGGCACCUCCUCUCCAUGUGAAAACAAAACACGAGGAGCAGAACAGAAGAUACUUGUGUUCCCUGACAAGAAAGGAAACACAGAAACAAAAUAUGUUCCCUGCAGCAAGUGACAAUGGCAGCAACAACCCAAGGGACUCUCUUAAAAUCUAUUAAGCAGGCCUUAGCUUUUCCACUGAGUGCUGCAACACAGGCUUCCUGUUCUACGAAAUUAAAAUCUUAACAGCCA